GAUGAACGCUGGCGGCGUGCCUAAUACAUGCAAGUCGAGCGAACAGACGAGGAGCUUGCUCCUCUGACGUUAGCGGCGGACGGGUGAGUAACACGUGGAUAACCUACCUAUAAGACUGGGAUAACUUCGGGAAACCGGAGCUAAUACCGGAUAAUAUAUUGAACCGCAUGGUUCAAUAGUGAAAGACGGCUUUGCUGUCACUUAUAGAUGGAUCCGCGCCGCAUUAGCUAGUUGGUAAGGUAACGGCUUACCAAGGCAACGAUGCGUAGCCGACCUGAGAGGGUGAUCGGCCACACUGGAACUGAGACACGGUCCAGACUCCUACGGGAGGCAGCAGUAGGGAAUCUUCCGCAAUGGGCGAAAGCUUGACGGAGCAACGCCGCGUGAGUGAUGAAGGUCUUCGGAUCGUAAAACUCUGUUAUUAGGGAAGAACAAAUGUGUAAGUAACUGUGCACGUCUUGACGGUACCUAAUCAGAAAGCCACGGCUAACUACGUG
rnacentral:rRNA from 1 species